rnacentral:rRNA from 1 species
UCUGGCCAGGCAACCCUAAAGGCACUGGAUCAUCUCUGAUUUUGGAAGCUAAGCAGGGCUCAGCCUGAUUAGUAUGUGGCAGUGGAAGACCACCUGGGAAAACCAGGUGCUGUCAGAU